AUGCCCAUCUGAAAUUUAGAUAUGAAGCCAAUGCCUCAUUCUCUAGUUGCUCAUUGAAUGUUUCUCACCUACCUCCUCUAUCGUGUCAAUCUUUGCUGCCCCCGGUCACUUCAAAUCCCAAUUGAUCACACCUUGUGAUAUUCUUUCCUUCCCUAUCUUUCUCUUAAAUGAAUGUUUGUUUAUAGGUUCUCUAUUGAAUCCCUUAAGAUCAGCCAAAGAAAAUAGACGGCUGAUUUUAUUAUGAGCAAUGAUUA
rnacentral:lncRNA from 1 species